rnacentral:rRNA from 1 species
UACGUAUGGGGCAAGCGUUAUCCGGAUUUACUGGGUGUAAAGGGAGCGCAGGCGGUCUGGCAAGCCUGAUGUGAAAUACCGGGGCCCAACCCCGGGGCUGCAUUGGGAACUGCCAGGCUGGAGUGCCGGAGAGGCAGGCGGAAUUCCUAGUGUAGCGGUGAAAUGCGUAGAUAUUAGGAGGAACACCAGUGGCGAAGGCGGCCUGCUGGACGGUGACUGACGCUGAGGCUCGAAAGCGUGGGUAGCAAACAGG